AGAGUUUGAUCAUGGCUCAGAUUGAACGCUGGCGGCAGGCUUAACACAUGCAAGUCGAGCGGAGAGAGGUAGCUUGCUACUGAUCUUAGCGGCGGACGGGUGAGUAAUGCUUAGGAAUCUGCCUAUUAGUGGGGGACAACAUUUCGAAAGGAAUGCUAAUACCGCAUACGUCCUACGGGAGAAAGCAGGGGAUCUUCGGACCUUGCGCUAAUAGAUGAGCCUAAGUCGGAUUAGCUAGUUGGUGGGGUAAAGGCCUACCAAGGCGACGAUCUGUAGCGGGUCUGAGAGGAUGAUCCGCCACACUGGGACUGAGGCACGGCCCAGACUCCUACGGGAGGCAGCAGUGGGGAAUAUUGGACAAUGGGCGCAAGCCUGAUCCAGCCAUGCCGCGUGUGUGAAGAAGGCCUUAUGGUUGUAAAGCACUUUAAGCGAGGAGGAGGCUACUUUAGUUAAUACCUAGAGAUAGUGGACGUUACUCGCAGAAUAAGCACCGGCUAACUCUGUGCCAGCAGCCGCGGUAAUACAGAGGGUGCAAGCGUUAAUCGGAUUUACUGGGCGUAAAGCGCGCGUAGGCGGCUAAUUAAGUCAAAUGUGAAAUCCCCGAGCUUAACUUGGGAAUUGCAUUCGAUACUGGUUAGCUAGAGUGUGGGAGAGGAUGGUAGAAUUCCAGGUGUAGCGGUGAAAUGCGUAGAGAUCUGGAGGAAUACCGAUGGCGAAGGCAGCCAUCUGGCCUAACACUGACGCUGAGGUGCGAAAGCAU
rnacentral:rRNA from 1 species